ACACAUCUAACCACUCUUCAGCUGAUAUCCACUUGCUGACAAAUGAAUCUCUCUGGCCCCUGGACUGUGCCCUGAAACACAGCUUAAAACAGCAGAAUGAACAGUAAUCCCAGAGAUCCUGAGAUGAGAAAAGGGUGUUUGACUUAUUCAAAGAAGACCAAGGAAGCCCAAAGACCAGAGAAGAGUGCAGGAAAGGGGCGGCGGUCUGAGAUGCAGUCAGAGCAGUGGCAAGCCCCCAGAGUCUGUGGCAAAGACUUCAGGUUUCAUCCUGAAGAGGAAGACAGGUCUUUGGAGAGUUUUGAUCAAGGAAGUGAGAUGAAAUAUCUUAGGCUUACAAAGAACUACUCUGACAUCUAAAUGGAAAAUGGACUGAUGAAGCAAAAGAAGCCACAAGGAAGCCAGUUCAGAGGCUAUUGAAAUGCUCCAGAUACUCAGAGAGUGAGAGCCUUCAGAUUUGGGUGAGUGAUGCCAUUAGAACCAAGAUUUCUUCCAUUCUUCUGCUCUAUCAUUCUCAGCACAACAUGCUUUUCUCAUUAAGGCCGCUGUGGUUCGUCUUCUGCCUGGGAACUGGAUAAAAACAUCAGUGAAUACCCCAAAGAUUUUCAAAAAUGCUUGUUGAUAAAAUGAAGUCAGAAUGUGAGAUGAGCCCUUCCACCUGAGUGAUGUUGGUCUUGGCUGUGUGAUUUGCUUUGGCUGAUGAUAAGUUGAUGGAAGUGAUAGUAAGACAAUGCUGAGCCUCAUCCUCGGAAGUAUCUCUGCCUUCACCUGGCUUUGUGCACCACUGCCCUGGCUUUGAGAAGAACAUGAGCCCAGUAAAUUGUUAGUCCAGGAAGAAUGAGAGAGAAAGUCCUGAGGCAGAGAAGUGGAGAGAAGUUGCUGCUUGAGCUUGAGAAAGAAUGGUGGCAGAGUACAUGCAUGGAAGUGCUACCAUAGCUGCUCUGAAAUCAGAGGAAAGUGGAAUUAUAAGAAGACCCCAUCUGACAAGGCUCAUAAAGGAGAGCAACUCUUAUGGAAUACAUCCAAGAUAUAUACGUCUUUGAAGAAAGACAUCACUCAACUGUGAAAGAUCACCAUGACCCCUGCUUUAAUUUCAUCAAAAAACUUAGUCCAUCAGCUCAGUUACCCUUUAGCCUUGCAUGGGAAUUGACUCAGAGCUUCUGCAAGAUCAGGCCCUAUAUUAGGUAUUGAGGGUUCAGGGAUGAACUAAGCUGAUCUGGUUCCUGCUCUCUAGGCUGUAGAAGAUGGCAAGUGCUGUGGACUUCAAAGAAAAGAUUUCUGAAGUGUCAUGUUAUGACAAUUGUGGCUUGCAGGCUGGAGAUCCAGGAAAGACCUGAUGUUGCAGUUCAAGUCUCAGGGCCAAUUGCUGGAGAAUUCCCUCUUGCUCUGGGAAGGCCAGUCUUUGGUCUUUUCAGACUUUCAUCUGAUUGGAUGAGGCCCACGUACAAAAUGGAGAUAAAUCUGCUUUACUCAAAGGCCACUGAUUUAAAUGUCUGUUAACCAAGACAGCUGCUAAGUGACUCAUAGUCACCAGCAAAGGACUAAGAUGUUUUCACUCCUUAGAUCUUCCCUUGUGUCUGUUUAAGAAGAGGAAUCCUCACUUAUUU
rnacentral:lncRNA from 1 species